rnacentral:rRNA from 1 species
CAUGAAGUCGGAAUUGCUAGUAAUCGUAGGUCAGCAUACUGCCGUGAAUACGUUCCCGGGCCUUGUACACACCGCCCGUCACACCAUGAGAGUUGGGAAUACCCGAAGCCUGUGAGCUAACUUUUAGAGGCAGCAGUCGAAGGUAGAAUCAAUGAUUGGGGUGAAGUCGUAACAAGGUACC